GUGCCAGCAGCCGCGGUAAUACAGAGGUCCCGAGCGUUGUUCGGAUUCACUGGGCGUAAAGGGUGCGUAGGUGGUGAGGUAAGUCGGAUGUGAAAUCUCCGGGCUCAACCCGGAAAUGGCAUUGGAAACUACCUUGCUGGAGGAUUUGAGGGGGGAUUGGAAUACUUGGUGUAGCAGUGAAAUGCGUAGAUAUCAAGUGGAACACCAGUGGCGAAGGCGAAUCCCUGGAAAAUACCUGACACUGAGGCACGAAAGCUAGGGGAGCAAACAGGAUUAGAAACCCUCGUAGUCC
rnacentral:rRNA from 1 species